rnacentral:misc_RNA from 1 species
AGGAUCAUUACCGAGUGCGGGCCCUCCGGGUCCAACCUCCCACCCGUGUCUACCGUACCUUGUUGCUUCGGCGGGCCCGCCAUCACGGCCGCCGGGGGGCGCUCUGCCCCCGGGCCCGCGCCCGCCGAAGACCCCCUCUCGAACGCUGUGUGAAGGUUGCAGUCUGAGUGGAUUAGCUAAAUCGGUUAAAACUUUCAACAACGGAUCUCUUGGUUCCGGCAUCGAUGAAGAACGCAGCGAAAUGCGAUAAGUAAUGUGAAUUGCAGAAUUCAGUGAAUCAUCGAGUCUUUGAACGCACAUUGCGCCCCCUGGUAUUCCGGGGGGCAUGCCUGUCCGAGCGUCAUUGCUGCCCUCAAGCACGGCUUGUGUGUUGGGCCGCCGUCCCCCUCCUGCCCGGGGGACGGGCCCGAAAGGCAGCGGCGGCGCCGCGUCCGGUCCUCGAGCGUAUGGGGCUUCGUCACCCGCUCCGUAGGCCCGGCCGGCGCCCGCCGACCACCCAACCCUUUUUCUCCAGGUUGACCUCGGAUCAGGUAGGGAUACCCGCUGAACUUAA